rnacentral:lncRNA from 1 species
AAGAAUUCAAACAAAUUUAACGUCAAUUCAAUUAUUCAACCCAAAAAUUUAAGACAAUAGUUCAUCACAUCCUAGCAAUACUAAAAAGGUUUAGCCGAGCAUAUUGUCGAAAUUAGAAACGCGAAAGUUAAAAGACAUCACCAAACUUUGAUGGAACGUGAUUGAAGUUGACAAAUUGAAUCUGCCUUUUUUCCUUCUGUAGCCACCCAAUGUGUGUCUAAUUCCACCAGGUUGGCUCCGGUUCUGGUACGAAUAAAAUUUCAGCAGGCAGCUCGUUUUCUCUUCUCCUUUAUUGUUGCGUGGGAAAUUAUCAAUAUAUAAUAUGGAAACCCCCAAAUUCAGCCGCCUCUCUAUGCGUUUUUUGAAAAGAACACUUGGCUGCCUCUUUCUUCUCCAAUACUUCCCCACCAGUUGCUGAAUUUCUUUUUCUCCAGCCGCUUCUGCCACCUAAUGUGCGUAUAUAUCAAUUCAACAGCCGGCCACCUUUUGCAUGUAUAUAUAUGUGAUUCCAAACCCCAUGCAACCCUUUAUUUUUUUUCCUCCAGAAGCUAUAAAAUUUUUACUUGGAGAAGAGACUCCCAAAUCCAAUCGCCGUCUCCUUUUUGGGUAUAUUUUCAGCCCCUUUUUUAUCCCAGCAGUCGCCCUUUUUUUUUUCAGCCAAACUCCCUCUCUUGCAGCCGUUUCUUGUGUGUAUAUAUAGCUAUGACAACCUUGGGCAGCCCUAUAUUCUUGACUCCAAUACAAGGCCCAAUUAUCUCAAAAAAUCAGCCACCAACCUUCGUUUUCUGUUGAAUCUUUCGCUACAUUCAGCCCACCAAUUGUUG